ensembl:lncRNA
GGUUGAGCUAGAUAUUAGUUGGCUGAGCUGAGUAUCAAAUAUGGGAAAUUAGUUGCCAUUAAAAGCUAGCUUCAGGCAGUUCAUUUCUCAUCAGCCAAGCUGUGUGAGCCUCCUGCUGUGGACAGUGAACAUUAGCUUACUAAAUACUUUUGCUAAUCAGACACUGCAUUGCUAACAGAGGUGCCUGAAUUUAGAGGGGAGGAGUUGAACAACAGCAACUGAAAAUGUGUCUGAGCCUUUGCUGAAACAGUGCUAAACAAACAAAAUUGUGCCUUAGGUGACUGAAAUAGUGACCACCUUGUCGGGACUAUCAUCUCUGAACUCAUCCUGUAGAGCAGGACUCAGCCGGAGACGGCUCCCGAGGCUCUGUAAUCGAAUCUUUCCAUUCUAACAGUGUCAUCUAGAGGUACUAAAUAGGAUGAGGGUAUUGCUGUGACAAGUACUGCAGAAACUCCAGCUUCUGUGACCCAGCAGGACAUGGAAGCAACAGACCCAUUUGCCACAUUCAGCUGCAUUCAGUAGAGAGGCUGAGGCUUGGAGACAUUGAAUAUCUGAAGGCUUUUGAAGAAGAAACAUCACCCUAAUACUUCCACAGCAGGAGGCAGCUGAGCUUCACCUUCAGCUCAGACUCUGCCAAGGAACACCUAAAGGAUGAGCAAAUCAGAUAAAGGAGGGGAGUGCAGGACCAUGGAGUGAUGGAGGACUUAGGGAUGCAAAUUUGUAUGUAACCACCUCUUUCAGUCCCACUACUCACAGGGUGACUUCUUUAUGUAGAACCUGAAUGAUUGCAUGUUAUCUUCAAAUGCAUCUGGACCCCUUACGAGUGAUUGCUAAUAAUAAUAUACAGGUGAACACAGAUGAGAAAUGCAGCCUACAUAAUCCCUAAAGUGGACUCCUGCACUGACCCACUCAAGUACAGAAGCAGAUCAUGAUGAAGAACCAGUGCAGACUGCCUUAUCCUGUGGGGAUACCCAGCCUGAGGGCGAUAAAGAAGGCAAAUCCCAAGCUCUGCUUCCUUAAUCAGAGAGGAAAGAGGUUUUGUGUGCAGACAGUUCUGCUGAUAGGAACAAGGGUGCUCCAAGGUGUCCCUGUGCAGUCUUUGCUUGUGGGACCCAUCACCUCCUUAGAAACAUGGCCGCCUUCUACCACAGGGACAGAGAAAAAGUACCAUUUCAAAUAUGCCCCAUCUGUGGUUCCUAUGUUUGGAAAGCACUGGUGCACCUGUGAAAGGAGCGGAGUGAGCUGCAGGAGCAUUUGAUCUUGUGUAUUGAUCUCCCUGAAGAAAUGAGCCAACCUGCUGCCAACUUGCACUGAUCUGGAUGCUUUGCUCUGUGAUCGACAGCAAGGUAGUGUGCCAGAAAGGUCUGGGUUGUCCGAGCUGGAUUUGUGCCAUGAGAGUCAUGGGCCAGACUUUGCAGCUAGGAUUUGCAGGUGGUUUGUACUUCAGAUUUACCAUUUCCUUAAUACUCGAGGAUGGUGACACAAUCCUUCCUCUCUUUUGGAGAGAUGGCAGGGACGUUUGCACCACAUAUUAUCUUACUGAGAAAGGAGGUGGAAAUCCACUAGCGUGGUAGUACAGAUGAAAAUAUUAUCACAUUUGCUACACAACAUUUCCAUAUACAUUCUGAGGGCAUUUCUGUGGACAACAGAUGGGGGACUCACUGUCAAUAUGAGGAGGGCAGCAGAGAGAUCUUUGAGAUAAUUUGGAAGAGAAUUUGCAGAGAAGGCAAAUGUACCUCCUUCAGCUGGACAAGCUGUCAGAAGUCCUAACAAAGUUCCUCACAUUUUCUCUCUUCGGUGUAUUUUUAUAAGAAGGGAAAAUUGAAGGGAAAAGAAAGUCUCCUCUAAUCCUUACAAAAGUAUUGCUUUAUUGCACAUUCAUGAUAACGUGAUAACUUCUGUUUUCAAGAAAUGAAAUUCCAUAUGAUGGGUUAUUCUGAAAAGUGUUGACAAAUACAAUCCUAAUAUAAACCUUAAAACAAUACAAUUAUUGAUGCAAUGGCAUAUAAUAUCUCAACUUUCUUGAAGUAUUAUGCUUACUAUUAGUUUUUGCGCUUGGUAUUCUAUUAAAAAAUAAAAAAUGACCUCUUUUACCAUCACUGCAUCUAUCUCUCUAUAUUUAUUUGAUGCACAUCACAUGCUGCUGUCCAGAGAGCCUCUCCUCCAUUUCCAAAGUCAUCUCUCUCCACUGGCUUACAUCAUUUGGUCUUGGUGCACUGUCUCCGUUGGAAAAUUUGAACAACCUUUUCAAAACCACACACACGUUCCUUACCAGCUGCCUUUGUGAAUGGAGCCUUUUCCAGAAAAAUGUGACCUCACUUGGAAAUGACGCAAAGCUUUGGUUAGCACUGCAGAGUCUGAGCUGGUAAGACCUACCUGCUGAUACGGUG